rnacentral:lncRNA from 1 species
GUCUCUAAAAAACUGAGCACCCAAUAGUUGUCCCAGAUGCUCUGCUCCUGUCUGUCUACACUGGUGAGCUGAUCUCAAGUCAAUGCCUCUCAAAUGUAUAGUUCAGAUGAUUUAUGUUUACCUCAUUUAAAUAUCUUCCACAUUCUGAAUAUUAAAAUUCCAAAGUUAACCUCUUAUUUCACACAUGAAUACAAAUAUGCACACAGAUUCUCUGAUAUCACCUUCAUUUAUCCCUGUUAGUAAAUGGUACAAUAUUAUUU